rnacentral:rRNA from 1 species
UACUUAGUGGCAGACGGGUGAGUAACAUGUGGGUAUCUGCCCUUUGGCCUGGAAUAACACGAGGAAACUUGUGCUAAUACCGGAUAAGUCUUUACGGAGAAAGCUUUAUGCACCAUUGGAUGAGCCCGCACUUGAUUAGUUUGUUGGUAGGGUAAUGGCCUACCAAGACUAUGAUCAAUAGCUGAUUUGAGAGGAUGAUCAGCCACAUUGGGACUGAGACACGGCCCAAACUCCUACGGGAGGCAGCAGUGGGGAAUCUUGCACAAUGGAGGAAACUCUGAUGCAGCGAUGCCGCGUGAGUGAAGAAGGCCUUUGGGUUGUAAAGCUCUUUCGUCGGGGAAGAAAAUGACUGUACCCGAAUAAGAAGGUCCGGCUAACUUCGUGCCAGCAGCCGCGGUAAUACGAAGGGACCUAGCGUAGUUCGGAAUUACUGGGCUUAGAGAGUUCGUAGGUGGUUGAAAAAGUUGGUGGUGAAAUCCCAGAGCUUAACUCUG